UCUCUGCUAAUGUCUGGCAUAAUGUUUCUUCAUAAUGGUUAACCCUUUUUCAGGGAGUGGAACAAUGCAAACAGUGCCUCUCUCUAGAUGGGAACUUUGCUUCAUGGGACAUUACACAGAUGCAAAACCACUGCACUCCCUGUGACAGUCUGCAUUUAAAGCUCUAUUUUUUAAAAGUUACAGCACUUCUUAAAUAGGACUCACUUCAAUUUAAUGAGUCCCAUAUAACGGAUUUGGAUUCAGGUUAUCUCAGGAUUUCCUAUACUCUAAAGUGGUAAUUCUUUGUUAUAUCAUACAAGAACGCCAGAAAACAAAAGGACAAUAAUCCUGAAUACUUCAGUUUUCACGUCUGAUCAUCUGUGAGUUAAUGUGCAUUGAAGACAAAAAUUCGUUUGUGAAUGUUGAUAAUGACCUUACUACACACGUCUCUGGACCAUAACACACACCAUGUGUUUUAACAUUGUGCUAGAAAAAGGUGUUCUUAGAACAGAAAAAAGAAUGCAAAUUCUUAAAUAUAUACAAAAGGCAAAUACCUAUAUCAAAUGAUAACCGAGGCUUUGGAAACCUAUCAUCUUUUUUCUUAAAACCUUGUUGUAUGUUAAAUAUCUUCUAUCAAGUAGCAGCUGCUUCUGAAUGCAUUUUCCAGUAGUAAACAGAAAGACUUCUUUUGUUUUAUUUCUUCUUUAACAUAAUACGACUUUUGCUGUGUUUCUAGAUAGAUACAUUUCUGAAGUGAGCAUCUGUAAGUGGUGGUAUCCCUUUCAGACUCACAACAAGUAUUUAAAAAUCUACUAAAGGUAUCCAGUUUAUUAAACACACAAAUUAUUUUGACGAUGGAUUAAUAUUUUUCCCUCAAAAACAUAAAAGCUACUUUUCAGUUCUGUAUUUAUAAAGAAAAACUGCAAAGAUUUCAUUGUGAACAUUUAUUUAUUUAUUUAUUGACUAUUUAAAGGUUUGUACAGCAGGGUCACAGAGACAGAGACACAGAGACAGACAGACAAAUCUCUCUGUUGGGUCACUCCUUCAAAUGUCAAUGGUCAAAGGCUGAGCCAGGUUGAAGUCAGGAUCCAGGAAUCCAAUGUGGGUGUCCCAUGUGGGCGGCAGUGAUUCUUCUACUUGAAUCAUCAUCUGCUGUC